rnacentral:rRNA from 1 species
UACGAAGGGGGCUAGCGUUGCUCGGAAUCACUGGGCGUAAAGGGUGCGCAGGCGGCCAAGUGUGUUAGGCGUGAAAGCCCGGGGCUUAACCCCGGAAUUGCACCUAAAACUACAUGGCUAGAGCAUUGGAGAGGGUAGCAGAAUUCAUGGUGUAGCAGUGAAAUGCGUAGAUAUCAUGAGGAAUACCAGAGGCGAAGGCGGCUACCUGGACAAUUGCUGACGCUCAGGCACAAAAGCGUGGGGAGCAAAAGGG